AAGUCCGAUCAUACCAGCACUAAUGCACCGGAUCCCAUCAGAACUCCGCAGUUAAGCGUGCUUGGGCGAGAGUAGUACUAGGAUAGGUGACCUUCUGGGAAGUCCUCGUGUUGCACCUC
rnacentral:rRNA from 2 species